GACGGAGGAUGCAAGCGUUAUCCGGAAUUAUUGGGCGUAAAGCGUCCGCAGGUGGACAUACAAGUCUGCUGUCAAAGUGCAGAGCUUAACUCUGUAAAGGCGGUGGAAACUGUAGGUCUUGAGUAUGGUAGGGGUAGAGGGAAUUCCCGGUGUAGCGGUGAAAUGCGUAGAUAUCGGGAAGAACACCAGUGGCGAAAGCGCUCUACUGGGCCAUAACUGACACUGAGGGACGAAAGCUAGGGGAGCGAAUGGG
rnacentral:rRNA from 1 species